rnacentral:rRNA from 1 species
GGUGAACGCUGGCGGCGUGCCUAAUACAUGCAAGUCGAGCGAACAGAUGAGAAGCUUGCUUCUCUGAUGUUAGCGGCGGACGGGUGAGUAACACGUGGGUAACCUACCUAUAAGACUGGGAUAACUCCGGGAAACCGGGGCUAAUACCGGAUAAUAUUUUGAACCGCAUGGUUCAAUAGUGAAAGACGGUUUCGGCUGUCACUUAUAGAUGGACCCGCGCCGUAUUAGCUAGUUGGUAAGGUAAUGGCUUACCAAGGCGACGAUACGUAGCCGACCUGAGAGGGUGAUCGGCCACACUGGAACUGAGAUACGGUCCAGACUCCUACGGGAGGCAGCAGUAGGGAAUCUUCCGCAAUGGGCGAAAGCCUGACGGAGCAACGCCGCGUGAGUGAUGAAGGUCUUCGGAUCGUAAAACUCUGUUGUUAGGGAAGAACAAAUUUGUUAGUAACUGAACAAGUCUUGACGGUACCUAACCAGAAAGCCACGGCUAACUACGUGCCAGCCGCCGCUGUAA